rnacentral:rRNA from 1 species
GACGAACGCUGGCGGCGUGCUUAACACAUGCAAGUCGAACGGAAAGGCCCUGCGUUUGUGGGGUGCUCGAGUGGCGAACGGGUGAGUAACACGUGAGUAACCUGCCCUUGUCUGUGGGAUAACUUCAGGAAACUGGGGCGAAUACCGGAUAGGAGCUCCUGCUGCACGGGGGGGGAUGGAAAGUUUCGGCGGUUGGGGAUAGUCUCGCGGCUUAUCAGCUGGUUGGUGGAGUAGUGGCUGACCAAGGCUUUGACGGGUAGCCGGCGUGAGAGGGUGACCGGCCACAUUGGGACUGAGAUACGGCCCAGACUCCUACGGGAGGCAGCAGUGGGGAAUAUUACACAAUGGGCGGAAGCCUGAUGCAGCAACGCCGCGUGCGGGAUGACGGCUUUCGGGUUGUAAACCGCUUUCGCCUGUGACGAAGCGUGAGUGACGGUAAUGGGUAAGGAAGCACCGGCUAACUACGUG